UAGGAUUGUGGGUAAUGCAGUCUUGGAUUUAUCACUCACUGGAGGAUUCUGGGAGAUUCCUCCCCCAUAAAGAUUUUAAAAGUAUAGUCUCAGGUUUACCACAGGCCCAGCGGUUCCUGGAACAUCUUUGCCUUAUAAUACAGGAACAUCUGAAAGCUUCAAGGACCAGAGGACUGUGGACAAUGCAAAAUUCAAAAUUGCCACCUAGCUGCAAAGAAUCCAAGGAACUACUUUCCUAAGGAUUAAAGGUAAUGAAACUCAACAAUUUUAAUGCUAACUGCAGGGUUAGG
rnacentral:lncRNA from 1 species